CUGGAGGUAUCAGAAGUGCGAAUGCUGACAUAAGUAACGAUAAAGCGGGUGAAAAGCCCGCUCGCCGGAAGACCAAGGGUUCCUGUCCAACGUUAAUCGGGGCAGGGUGAGUCGACCCCUAAGGCGAGGCCGAAAGGCGUAGUCGAUGGGAAACGGGUUAAUAUUCCCGUACUUGGUGUUACUGCGAAGGGGGGACGGAGAAGGCUAUGUUGGCCGGGCGACGGUUGUCCCGGUUUAAGCGUGUAGGUGUGUGUUCCAGGUAAAUCCGGUUCACUUUAACACUGAGGCGUGAUGACGAGGCACUACGGUGCUGAAGCAACAAAUGCCCUGCUUCCAGGAAAAGCCUCUAAGCAUCAGGUAACAUCAAAUCGUACCCCAAACCGACACAGGUGGUCAGGUAGAGAAUACCAAGGCGCUUGAGAGAACUCGGGUGAAGGAACUAGGCAAAAUGGUGCCGUAACUUC
rnacentral:rRNA from 1 species